rnacentral:rRNA from 1 species
GAUGAACGCUGGCGGCGUGCCUAAUACAUGCAAGUCGAGCGAAUGGAUUACGAGCUUGCUCUUAUGAAGUUAGCGGCGGACGGGUGAGUAACAAGUGGGUAACCUGCCCAUAAGACUGUGAUAACACCGGGAAACCGGGGCUAAUACCGGAUAACAUUUUGAACCGCAUGGUUCGAAACUGAAAGGCGGCUUCGGCUGUCACUUAUGGCUGGACCCGCGUCGCAUUAGCGAGUUGGGGAGGUAACGGCCCACCAAGGCAACGAUGCGUAGCCGACCUGAGAGGGUGAUCGGCCACACUGGGACUGGGACACGGCCCAGACUCCUACGGGGGGCAGCAGUAGGGAAUCUUCCGCAAUGGACGAAAGUCUGACGGAGCAACGCCGCGUGAGUGAUGAAGGCUUUCGGGUCGUAAAACUCUGUUGUUAGGGAAGAACAAGUGCUAGUUGAAUAAGCUGGCACAUUGACGGUACCUAACCAGAAAGCCACGGCUAACUACGUGCCAGCCGCCGCGGUAA